UACGGGGGGGGCAAGCGUUGUUCGGAAUUACUGGGCGUAAAGGGCUCGUAGGCGGCCAACUAAGUCAGACGUGAAAUCCCCAGGCUCAACCUGGGAACUGCGUCUGAUACUGGAUGGCUUGAAUUCGGGAGAGGGAUGCAGAAUUCCAGGUGUAGCGGUGAAAUGCGUAGAGAUGUGGAGGAACACCGAUGGCGAAGGCAGCCCCCUGGGUCAAGAUUGACGCUCAUGCACGAAAGCGUGGGGAGCAAACAGG
rnacentral:rRNA from 1 species